GACGAACGCUGGCGGCGUGCCUAAUACAUGCAAGUCGAACGAAGCUGUUUUAACUGGUGCUUGCACCGACUUAAACAACUGAGUGGCGAACGGGUGAGUAACACGUGGGUAACCUGCCCCAAAGCGGGGGAUAACAUUUGGAAACAGAUGCUAAUACCGCAUAACCACAGAAACCACAUGGUUUCUGUGUCAAAGAUGGUUUCGGCUAUCACUUUGGGAUGGACCCGCGGCGUAUUAGUUAGUUGGUAAGGUAAUGGCUUACCAAGGCAAUGAUACGUAGCCGAACUGAGAGGUUGAUUGGCCACAUUGGGACUGAGACACGGCCCAAACUCCUACGGGAGGCAGCAGUAGGGAAUCUUCCACAAUGGACGAAAGUCUGAUGGAGCAACGCCGCGUGAGUGAAGAAGGUUUUCGGAUCGUAAAACUCUGUUGUCGGAGAAGAACGUGUGCGAGAGUAACUGCUCGUGCAGUGACGGUAUCUGGCCAGAAAGCCACGGCUAACUACGUGCCAGCAGCCGCGGUAA
rnacentral:rRNA from 1 species